AACGUACGCUGGCGGCAGGCCUAACACAUGCAAGUCGAGCGGACCCUUCGGGGUUAGCGGCGGACGGGUGAGUAACGCGUGGGAAUAUGCCCUUCUCUACGGAAUAGUCCUGGGAAACUGGGGGUAAUACCGUAUACGCCCUUUGGGGGAAAGAUUUAUCGGGGAAGGAUUAGCCCGCGUUGGAUUAGGUAGUUGGUGGGGUAAUGGCCUACCAAGCCGACGAUCCAUAGCUGGUUUGAGAGGAUGAUCAGCCACACUGGGACUGAGACACGGCCCAGAUUCCUACGGGAGGCAGCAGUGGGGAAUCUUAGACAAUGGGGGCAACCCUGAUCUAGCCAUGCCGCGUGAGUGAUGAAGGCCUUAGGGUUGUAAAGCUCUUUCAGCUGGGAAGAUAAUGACGGUACCAGCAGAAGAAGCCCCGGCUAACUCCGUG
rnacentral:rRNA from 1 species